rnacentral:rRNA from 1 species
AUUUGGAAACAGAUGCUAAUACCGCAUAGAUCCAASAACCGCANGUUCUWGGCUGAAAGAUGGCGUAWGCUAUCGCUUUUGGAUGGACCCGCGGCGUAWUASCUWKUUGGUGAGGUWAUGGCUCACCRAGGCRAUGAUWCGUARCCUAACUGAGAGGUUGAUCGSMCACAUUGGGACUGAGACACGGCCCAAACUCCUACGGGAGGCAGCAGUAGGGAAUCUUCCACAAUGGACGCAAGUCUGAUGGAGCAACGCCGCGUGAGUGAAGAAGGCUUUCGGGUCGUAAAACUCUGUUGUUGGAGAAGAAUGGUCGGCAGAGUAACUGUUGUCGGCGUGACGGUAUCCAACCAGAAAGCCACGGCUAACUACGUGCCAGCAGCCGCGGUAAUACGUAGGUGGCAAGCGUUAUCCGGAUUUAUUGGGCGUAAAGCGAGCGCAGGCGGUUUUUUAAGUCUGAUGUGAAAGCCCUCGGCUUAACCGAGGAAGCGCAUCGGAAACUGGGAAACUUGAGUGCAGAAGAGGACAGUGGAACUCCAUGUGUAGCGGUGAAAUGCGUAGAUAUAUGGAAGAACACCAGUGGCGAAGGCGGCUGUCUGGUCUGUAACUGACGCUGAGGCUCGAAAGCAUGGGUAGCGAACAGGAUUAGAUACCCUGGUAGUCCAUGCCGUAAACGAUGAAUGCUAGGUGUUGGAGGGUUUCCGCCCUUCAGUGCCGCAGCUAACGCAUUAAGCAUUCCGCCUGGGGAGUACGACCGCAAGGUUGAAACUCAAAGGAAUUGACGGGGGCCCGCACAAGCGGUGGAGCAUGUGGUUUAAUUCGAAGCAACGCGAAGAACCUUACCAGGUCUUGACAUCUUUUGAUCACCUGAGAGAUCAGGUUUCCCCUUCGGGGGCAAAAUGACAGGUGGUGCAUGGUUGUCGUCAGCUCGUGUCGUGAGAUGUUGGGUUAAGUCCCGCAACGAGCGCAACC